rnacentral:rRNA from 1 species
AAUUCCUACGGGGGGCAGCAGUGGGGAAUAUUGGGCAAUGGGCGCAAGCCUGACCCAGCAACGCCGCGUGAAGGAAGAAGGCUUUCGGGUUGUAAACUCCUUUUCUCAGGGACGAAGAAAGUGACGGUACCUGAGGAAUAAGCCACGGCUAACUACGUGCCAGCAGCCGCGGUAAUACGUAGGUGGCAAGCGUUAUCCGGAUUUACUGGGUGUAAAGGGCGUGUAGGCGGGAAAGCAAGUCAGAUGUGAAAACCAUGGGCUCAACCUGUGGCCUGCCUUUGAAACUGUUUUUCUUGAGUACUGGG